rnacentral:rRNA from 1 species
AUGGGAGCGGAUCCGGACGCCUCCUGCCCCUCGCCGGCGGCGGCGUCUCCGUCACGGCAGCCACGACAAGGCGAGGAAGAGCUCCGCGCCGUGGAGCCCGUGGACCACCGGAGCCCGCACCGCCACGCGGAUUCGAGCCCUGCGCCGCCGCCGCCGCCGCCCGCGUCCGCCGCGCCGGUGCCGCAGCACCCCGAAGUGUCAGGCGAGGACGCGGUGCUGGCCAGCGAGGAGGCGGUGGAGGAACAGCCCGCCCUUGAGGAGGGGGUGGUGGAGGCGGAGGCCGCUGUUGCAGGAGGAGAAGGCGAGGCUCUCCGCAGCUUCUUGGAGGAAUUCGGGGAUCAAGCAGAUGACUGCAUUAUCCCAUCUCCGCGCCUGAAGGGGAUCGCAACUCCUGACUGCCCUGCUGCCCUCCAAUUCCUAGGGGCGAGGUACAAUAGCCUGAUGGAGAAGCACAACAGCCUGAUGGAGAAGUACGAGCAGCAGGUGGCUAAGUGUGCCGAGGAGUGUGCACCAAGGUUUGAUGGCUUGAAGAACAAGUACACGGUGGAGUGUGCAGAGCGGCGUCGUUUGUACAAUGAGCUCAUCGAGCUGAGGGGAAACAUCAGGGUAUUCUGCCGAUGCCGCCCUCUAAGUUCCGAUGAGAUCUCCCGUGGCUGCUCAUCAGUGGUUGAGGUUGAUCCGUCCCAGGAGAUGGACCUUCAGUUUAUUCCCACGGAAAAAGAGAGGAAGACCUUUAAAUUUGACCAUGUUUUUGGACCGGCUGAUGAUCAAGAGGCUGUAUUUGCUGAGAGCCUGCCAGUGGUGAGGUCAGUGAUGGAUGGUUUCAAUGUAUGCAUCUUUGCAUAUGGGCAAACCGGAACAGGGAAAACCUUCACUAUGGAAGGUGUUCCAGAGAAUAGGGGUGUUAAUUACAGGGCUCUUGAAGAACUGUUCAGGAUCUCGGAGGAGAGAAGCUCAUCUAUCUCAUACUCAUUUGGUGUGAGUAUCUUGGAAGUCUAUAAUGAAAAAAUCAGGGACCUUCUUGAUGACAACUCUGAACAAACAUCAAAAAGGUUGGACAUAAAGCAAAGUGCUGAUGGGGCACAAGAGGUGCCUGGCUUGGUUGAAGCUCCAAUUUCUACAAUAGAUGGUGUGUGGGAGAAACUGAAAGCUGGCGCUAGAAAUAGAUCUGUUGGAUCAACCAGUGUCAAUGAACUGAGCAGUCGCUCCCAUAGCUUGGUUAGGGUCACCGUUACGAGUGAGCAUUUGGUGACUGGGGAAAGGAGCAGAAGCCACAUGUGGUUGGUUGACCUUGCUGGAAGUGAGCGCUUGGCUAAAACUGAAGUAGAAGGAGAGAGGCUGAAGGAGGCAAAGUUCAUCAACAAGUCACUCUCUGCACUGGGUGAUGUUAUUGCUGCCCUUGCCUCCAAGAAUGCCCACAUCCCAUAUCGGAACUCCAAGCUAACUCAUCUGCUCCAAAGCUCGUUAGGUGGAGAUUGCAAGACACUCAUGUUUGUGCAGAUAAGUCCAAGCUCUACAGAUUCAGGAGAAACUUUAUGCUCGCUAAAUUUUGCUAGUAGAGUUCGAGCUAUUGAACAUGGCCCUGCUCGUAAACAAGUGGAUCCAGCUGAAAACUUCAAGAUCAAGCAGAUGGCCGAAAAGCUCUGCCAUGAGGAAAAGGAAAAUGCGAAGUUGAACGAAAGCUUGCAACUGAUGCAACUCAAGUAUGCUUCUCGUGAGAAUGUCUUCAGAACUCUUCAAGAUAAGAUAAGGGAGACUGAGCAAGCCUGCAGAACUCAUCAGCAGCGGGCUAGAGAGCUGGAGAAUGAAUUAGCUAAUGAGAAGAAGGCUGCAAGGGAUACGGGUAAAUCCGUGAAGCCAUCAUUUGCAGCUCCUGUGAGGCAGAGACCACCACUUGCUCCUAUGAGGCAGAGACCACCAAGCAACAACAUGCCACAACCUUCAGGCCCUUCCAGACUGAGGUUUGCUGGUAAGGGAUCUUCAGUUCAGAACAAAGAGAACAUCCCUACGGCGAACAAAACCGUUGUGGACAAGACUGCUGGCAAAGCACGGCGGGUAUCUUUGGUUCCCAUGAUGCGGCAGAUCCCUCUCCAGCCCAAGAGGCGAUCCUCGAUCGCGAUCCUACCAAGCGAGAGAGAGCGGAUGUCCAUAUUUCCCGAGAAGAAGGCAAUGUCACGACUGUCCCAUGUCCAAAUGUCAAGAACAGCAAGACCACAGGCUUUUAACUCAAUUCCAGAAACACCACAAGCAGCAGUCGAUGCAACUCCAGAUGUCAGAGGAAAGUUUAGAAUGGAGUUUGGCAGCAGCAGCAGGUUCUCAAGCCCUCCAACGCUGUCCAUGCGGAAGUCAAGGAACAAUAUCUCGUCUCCGCAGCAGAGGUUGAGGAUGCAGUCAGGCUCUGGAAAUGCCAGCAAGCUAUGCUUCAGUAUCCAGAAGAGAGUAGCUCUUGGUUCACCUGCUCCAGCAAGAACGACUUCCAUGACGUCUGGUACUGGCAUCUUUGAUCCAGCUCUGCGCGAGCAGAUAAUGGCAGGGAGAUUCGGCAAUGCGCAGAGGGUGUUCAACGGCAAGAGGAGAAUGUCCGUCCUCUAA